CAAUAGCAUAUAUUAAAGUUGUUGCAGUUAAAAAGCUCGUAGUUGGAUUUCUGGUGGGAGCGAUCGGUCUGGCGCUUAGCGCGAGUACUUGCAUCGUCUCCGGCCAUCCUUGGGGAGAGUCUGUCUGGCAUUAGGUUGUCGGGCAGAGGAUCCUCAUCGUUUACUGUGAAAAAAUUAGAGUGUUCAAAGCAGGCUUAUGCCGUUGAAUAUAUUAGCAUGGAAUAAUAAGAUAGGACUUUGGUACUAUUUUGUUGGUUUGCGCACCAAAGUAAUGAUUAAUAGGGACAGUUGGGGGUAUUCGUAUUCCGUUGUCAGAGGUGAAAUUCUUGGAUUUACGGAAGACGAACUACUGCGAAAGCAUUUACCAAGGAUGUUUUCAUUAA
rnacentral:rRNA from 1 species